UUCUUCAAAGAAACCCCCAGCCUGGAACUGGUGCGGCUCUGCAGAGGGAAACGCCGCACUGUACUUCAAAGCGGAGAAAAUGUGCAGCUGCCGGGAGCCCGCCUGCCCCAGGAGGUGUCACUGUUGGGACUGGCAGGGUUUUUUGUUACUGUCUGCAUUGUAGACAGCGCAUUACUGGAGAAGCUGCAUAGACCUGAGGUAUGUUGUUCAGCCAUGCCAAAGACUCCACGGUCUGCACUGAACUACAAAACCAGUCCUGGUGCAGAAGCUAGGAGGUCUUGCUCAUCUUGCACUGACG